AGGAUAAGAGAGGUCUGGGGGACCAGGCGCAGGGUUGGGGGCUCAGAAGGCAGCGCUCUGGGGCAUCUCCACCAUGGCCUGGGCUCUGCUCCUUGUCACCCUCCUCACUCAGGGCACAGGGUCCUGGGCACAGUCUGCCCUGACUCAGCCUCCAUCGGUGUCUGGGACUCUGGGAAAGACAGUCACCAUCUCCUGUGCAGGAACCAGCAGUGAUGUUGGGUCUGGAAACUAUGUCUCCUGGUACCAGCAGCUCCCAGGAACAGCCCCCAAAUGCCUGAUUUAUCAGGUCAAUAAACGAGCCUCAGGGAUCCCUGAUCGCGUCUCUGGCUCCAAGUCUGGCAACACGGCCUCCAUGACCAUCUCUGGGCUCCAGUCUGUGGACGAGGCUGAUUAUUACUGUGCCUCAUAUAGAAGUGGUGGCACUCCACACACUGUGUCCGGAGGAGGGACCCUGCCCAGCCCCCAAGGUGUGAGGAGCCCAGGCCUGAGGCUGGAGUGGGCCAAGCACUACAGUGGGGAGACAGUGGACUGGGUCAGGGGCUCCCCUGUACCCUACAUGAUGGCUGCUACAUCGCCCACACCACAUUACCAUUCAGCACCCAGCCCAUCUCCAAGGCCAAGGAUCUGCCUUUGUUGUGAAGUCCGGGCCGCAGCUCGGGGCCUGGCAGCCUGGGGUUCUUCCAAAGCUGCUCCAUGAGUUUGGUCAGACCACGAUAUCACCACCAUCGAUUUCAGGUCUCCCUCCCGCUCACUACCAUCAGUGUCCAGAGCUGGGGACGGUCUGGGAUUUCAUCCUCCCUGCAGGAUACCGGCCGGUGUGUUUCUCUCCAGAGGGAGACACUGCCUCUACUUUCCAGUUUCAUUCAUUAACGCAGACAUCAUUGAAAAGAUGGUCCAAACAAGAGGGGACCUGUGCCUUUGCUUGUGAGACCCGAGGACAGCGGUCCUCAUCCCCGUGGGAGAACUGAAGUCCUGGCUGUUGGCCUGUGACCGUGUCUCAAAAGGGGCUGGACCAGUUGUAGCAGGAGAGUCACAACACGGGCCAGACAACUCUUAAGGAACCACCCAGGAAAGUGACUUUGGGAGGCCUGGGGUAGGGGGGCCUCUUUCAGAGUUGCUGGAACGGAAAACCAGGAGGGCCGCACAGCUGGGCUCGAGUGGACGUAUUAGAGCUCCUGGGGAUGAAAAGCAACUGGAAAGCGAGAGGCCGUGACAAGCAGGAACAUGCAGCCUGCAGCCCUGAGUCCCUCCUACCCGAGCAGGGUGACAGCACCGGCACCCAGACAGAGGCCACAAGCUCAAAGCACACCCUGGAGCCUGGCAAGGGCCCAGCCUCUUGACGGUGUGGCAUCAAGAAUGUUCAGAGUCUGCUUGAACAUCAGUGUCCUCAUCUGCCAACAGAAGAGAAAAAUCAGCUCAGCGGGCGGUCGGCUCCACUGUCAGCGCUGGAUAACAGCACCCUCUCAUCACUGCAUCAGUGUGUCCCGUAUUGCAUUCCUGGGCUUCAAAACAGACCCCAACUGAGCAGACAUGUGAUCUCCUUAUUCCUCAUGGCCUCCCUGCAGCAAAGGAACUGCCCCCAUUUUACAGAUAAGGAAACUGAGGCCCGGAGGUGACCUAGGUCUGGCUGCUUUCAACAUCACUCCUUGAAUAAGCGGUAGAGGACCCCUCCCCACAGAACCCCUGACUGGCUGAGGACCAGGGGCUGCUGGCCAGGCUUGG